CGGCUCGGGAAGUGUGUCCCAUCAGAGGAGGGACUGGCAGUUCCUCCCCGGCUGCAGGCCGGUAGUAACUGAUCAAAGGAGAAAUGAGUUUUCACUUAGAUUAAAUUCUCUCCUCCCCACUUUCGAACAAGAAGUAGGAAGAUUAGCCCAGGAAUGGGGUUUCUAGUAGAACAAAAGGAAAAAAAGGGGUGGGGGAAGGCUGGAACAACAUUAUUUAAAUAACUCUCUGGGGACAAGAACUGCAAGAUGCAUGCAUUUAACUACAGAAUAUAUUCAUCAUAUCUCCCAGAGAAAUGAAUAAUACCAUGAGGAGCUAUUUAAUCAUGAGCAUGGAGAUUGCCCUGCAGAUUGCUGUGCUCUGACAGUGCCAGUCAAGAUGGAAUAAGAAAAAUUAUGCUGGGAAACAAGGAGUCAGGUUCAUAGUUACUUAAAAACCAGUAAACAUAGUCUGUACUUUCUUAACAAGAAAGAAAUACUUACAGAGGGAAGCAACAACAUCUGUUCUUAUUAACUAAAUUGAACAAUACAAAAUU